CACACCGCCCGUCACAUCAUGAAAGCCGUUUGUACCCGAAGUCAGCGUGUCAACCGCAAGGAAACAACUGCCGAAGGUAUGGUCGGUGAUUGGGAUG
rnacentral:rRNA from 1 species